AUGUUCACGCAUCAGUUCAGCCUAUUUCCCGACGAUUCAGAAGCAACGGCGAUUCCAGCUUUUGUUCGUUUUGAGCGUUUUGUGUUACUGUCAAGUUCUGGAAAUUUGGUUCGAUCUGAGAAAUCCUGUG